rnacentral:rRNA from 1 species
UGAGUAACACGUAUCCAGCCUGCCGUCUACUCUUGGACAGCCUUCUGAAAGGAAGAUUAAUACAAGAUGGCAUCAUGAGUCCGCAUGUUCACAUGAUUAAAGGUAUUCCGGUAGACGAUGGGGAUGCGUUCCAUUAGAUAGUAGGCGGGGUAACGGCCCACCUAGUCUUCGAUGGAUAGGGGUUCUGAGAGGAAGGUCCCCCACAUUGGAACUGAGACACGGUCCAA